GGUAGUGUAGUUAACACCUGCACUAUUUGACGUUACCUACAGAAGAAGCACCGGCUAACUCCGUGCCAGCAGCCGCGGUAAUACGGAGGGUGCGAGCGUUAAUCGGAAUUACUGGGCGUAAAGCGCAUGCAGGCGGCCUGUUAAGUCAGAUGUGAAAGACCCGGGGCGUUAACCUCGGAAUUGCAUUUGUAAACUAGGCAGGCUAGAGUCUUGUAGAGGGGGGUAGGAAUUUCUAGGUGUAGCGGUGAAAUGCGUAGAGAUCUGAAGGAAUACCAGUGGCGAAGGCGGCCCCCUCGGACAAAGACUGACGCUCAGAUGCGAAAGCGUGGGGAGCAAACAGGAUUAGAUACCCUGGUAG
rnacentral:rRNA from 1 species